rnacentral:misc_RNA from 1 species
GGCCUCCCUCCAAAGUGUCCAACACCAUAUAUGAUCCAAAUGCAGAAAAGCAUACUGCUGAAAUAGCUUGAUGCAUUGCCCUCUUCUUGCAGAGGGAGGAUGUCAGAUAACUUAUUCAUCCUGAUGGUGAUUUGAUAAAGCAUUUUGCAAUCUUCUGAUUCAUUAUGGAGCAAUUGUGAAUAUGUAGAUCUUUUUCAUCAUGGUCAUCAAUCAGUUUGUAUGCUUCUAGAUCGCUCAACUGCAUCACUGAUGCAUUCUUUACUGAAAGCAUCUUUUCAAAAUCUUGCAAAACAAGAAAUUGGAAAGAGAAAAAAAAAAAAGGAACAAAAACACAUUUCUUUUCAAAAUCUUGCAAACGAGAAAUUGGAAGAGGAAAAAAAAAAGGAACAAAUAGACAUUUCUAGUUCUGUAUCAUCUUGUGUUGUUCAUUUGUGUUGGGAAAUUGAGAUGCACCUACAG